UGGACGUGAUUCAGCA
rnacentral:rRNA from 1 species